rnacentral:rRNA from 1 species
UGGUGGAUUGAUUUGUCUGGUUGAUUCCGAUAACGAACGAGAUCUCUGCAAGAUACCUGGUCUGACAGGGCUUUUCAAAAGCCCUGCUCAGUCAGUUUCUGGACAGUGCAUGGCAAGUGCAAGGAAGUGGAGGCAAUAACA